UGCCCUCUAGCUAUUCUUGGAACCCUGCCUCUGCCACGCUUAAAAAGCCCAAGCUGGCCUGAUCGAUGGUGAGAGGCACGUGGACCAUUUACCCCCGUUGCCCUAGUCAACAUCCUACCAACUGCCAACCAUGCAGUAUCAGUAAUUGCAUGGUUUCAAGUUGUUGAAGAACUAUGGAUGGAGCAAAGAUGGACUUGAAUUUCCAGCCAACAGGAUGCCAUUCAGAGCUGUGUUCAUACCACCAAUCCCAUUAGUCGGGAGGAGCCAAUCGAGCCUGUUUGUGGAAUCUGGGCUGUCCCUGGGGCUUCCCACUGACAUCAGGGCCGUGCAGCUUGCUCCAGCCCCCGAGAGCAGGUCUGGGUUUGUCCCUUCUUUUAAGGUAAAAACAGGUUAAGAGCUGUCAAUGAAUAAAAUGCAGAUGAAGGGAGUGGUCAUGAUCAGAUUACCUGCCCAAGUCAAUUUAUAGCAAUCCCAGCAAUCCCAACAGUGCGCAUCUACAGACCUCCUUGGGCUUUGUCCAGAAGAAAGAAAUCAAAGGUGGUUUCUCCCUAAAUCUUUUAUAAAUUACAAAAAUUUUCAACUGGAGUGCAAGGAACCUGCCUGUUGUCCAACAGAAUCCCCUUGCCUUUGAUUUCUAGAGGUUGACAUCUGGGAUCAAAAUGAGGGCAUCUGUAGACCAUGGCCAGCCCAGUAAGCUUGCCUCACUGGAGUAAGCUUGCUGGUGCUCUACUCCUGGCUGGCUGAGCUGCCGCAAGAAAGCAAACUUUCCUAAACAGUGUUGACAAUAGCGCCACCUCCGAGGGUGCCUCUCAGGCAAGAAGUUCCCACCAACGCCUACAGUGGCCGUCAAGCCGUCUUUGACAGCGUUAGCCAUUAGAAAGUUUUUCUUUUUGUUAAGCCCUCAUCAGCUUUAUUAUGCCUCCCACCUCUUCACAAAGGAGACAUGAAUUUUAAAAUGUCUUUGCCCUGGAGCCAAAAGCACUCCGUUAUAAAUACUGUAUUUGCCAAAUUCAGAUAAAAAGUCGAUGUGUACUCUUGAGUGGCAAUCGAGAGAAUAUGUCCCAUCUAUGCAGGCUCACGUGAACGUGGCUUGAGUCCAUUUCGGCAUUAUGAGCUGACACAUAAGAAACUGCUCAUUUUGUAGACCACCAUUGAUUGACAACUGGCCACGUGACAGGAUUCAACAUGUACUAUAAUGGUUAAGAAUGUGGAUUUUGGAGCUCCUUCUCCCACUUGGUAGCUGUGAUCUUGGGCAAGUUACUAACAACUCUGUACCUUAAUUUCCUCAUCUCGGUAAUAUUUAUUUC